GGAGAGGUGUCAGAGUGGCUUAAUGAGCACGCUUGGAAAGCGUGUGUACGUUUUAUAGCGUACCGCAGGUUCGAAUCCUGUCCUCUCCGCCA
rnacentral:tRNA from 1 species